UACGGAGGGUGCAAGCGUUAUCCGGAUUCACUGGGUUUAAAGGGUGCGUAGGCGGAUAGGAAAGUCCGUGGUGAAAUCCUGCAGCUUAACUGCAGAACUGCCGUGGAUACUCUCUAUCUUGAAUAUCGUGGAGGUUAGCGGAAUAUGUCAUGUAGCGGUGAAAUGCUUAGAUAUGACAUAGAACACCCAUUGCGAAGGCAGCUAACUACGCGAUCAUUGACGCUGAUGCACGAAAGCGUGGGGAUCAAACAGG
rnacentral:rRNA from 1 species